rnacentral:tRNA from 1 species
AUUUAAAUAGCUUAUUUAAAGAGCAUAACAUUGAAGCUGUUAAGGAGAUUGUAUUAAUUUUUAAAUG